GACGAACGCUGGCGGCGUGCUUAACACAUGCAAGUCGAACGGAAAGGCCCUGCUUUUGUGGGGUGCUCGAGUGGCGAACGGGUGAGUAACACGUGAGUAACCUGCCCUUGACUUUGGGAUAACUUCAGGAAACUGGGGCUAAUACCGGAUAGGAGCUCCUGCUGCAUGGUGGGGGUUGGAAAGUUUCGGCGGUUGGGGAUGGACUCGCGGCUUAUCAGCUUGUUGGUGGGGUAGUGGCUUACCAAGGCUUUGACGGGUAGCCGGCCUGAGAGGGUGACCGGCCACAUUGGGACUGAGGUACGGCCCAGACUCCUACGGGAGGCAGCAGUGGGGAAUAUUGCACAAUGGGCGGAAGCCUGAUGCAGCAACGCCGCGUGCGGGAAGACGGCCUUCGGGUUGUAAACCGCAUUCGCCUGUGACGAAGCGUGAGUGACGGUAAUGGGUAAAGAAGCACCGGCUAACUACGUG
rnacentral:rRNA from 1 species